rnacentral:rRNA from 1 species
AGUGAACGCUGGCGGUAGGCCUAACACAUGCAAGUCGAACGGCAGCACAGUAAGAGCUUGCUCUUACGGGUGGCGAGUGGCGGACGAGUGAGGAAUACAUCGGCAUCUACUUUUUCGUGGGGGAUAACGUAGGGAAACUUACGCUAAUACCUCAUACGACCUACGGGUGAAAGCAGGGGAUCUUCGGACCUUGCGCGAUUGAAUGAGCCGAUGUCGGAUUAGCUAGUUGGCGGGGUAAAGGCCCACCAAGGCGACGAUCCGUAGCUGGUCUGAGAGGAUGAUCAGCCACACUGGAACUGAGACACGGUCCAGACUCCUACGGGAGGCAGCAGUGGGGAAUAUUGGACAAUGGGCGCAAGCCUGAUCCAGCCAUACCGCGUGGGUGAAGAAGGCCUUCGGGUUGUAAAGCCCUGUUGUUGGGAAAGAAAAGCAGCAGGUUAAUACCCCGCUGUUCUGACGGUACCCAAAGAAUAAGCACCGGCUAACUUCGUG